GAUGAACGCUGGCGGCGUGCUUAACACAUGCAAGUCGAACGGGAAACCUUUUAUUGAAGCUUCGGCAGAUUUAGCUGGUUUCUAGUGGCGGACGGGUGAGUAACGCGUGGGUAACCUGCCUUAUACAGGGGGAUAACAACCAGAAAUGGUUGCUAAUACCGCAUAAGCGCACAGGACCGCAUGGUCCGGUGUGAAAAACUCCGGUGGUAUAAGAUGGACCCGCGUUGGAUUAGCUAGUUGGCAGGGUAACGGCCUACCAAGGCGACGAUCCAUAGCCGGCAUGAGAGGGUGAACGGCCACAUUGGGACUAAGAAACGGCCCAGACUCCUACGGGAGGCAGCAGUGGGGAAUAUUGCACAAUGGGGGAAACCCUGAUGCAGCGACGCCGCGUGAAGGAAGAAGUAUCUCGGUAUGUAAACUUCUAUCAGCAGGGAAGAUAGUGACGGUACCUGACUAAGAAGCCCCGGCUAACUACGUG
rnacentral:rRNA from 1 species